GAUGAAGAACGCAGUGAAGUGCGAUACGUAAUGUGAAUUGCAGAAUUCAGUGAAUCAUCGAGUCUUUGAACGCACAUUGCGCCCCCUGGUAUUCCGGGGGGCAUGCCUGUCCGAGCGUCAUUGCUGCCCUCAAGCACGGCUUGUGUGUUGGGCCUCCGCCCCCCGGCUCCCGGGGGGCGGGCCCGAAAGGCAGCGGCGGCACCGCGUCCGGUCCUCGAGCGUAUGGGGCUUCGUCACCCGCUCCGUAGGCCCGGCCGGCGCCCGCCGGCGACCCCCCUCAAUCUUUCCAGGUUGACCUCGGAUCAGGUAGGGAUACCCGCUGAACUUAAGCAUAUCAAUAAGCGGAGGA
rnacentral:misc_RNA from 1 species